GAUGGAGCUUCCGAAUCGACGAUC
rnacentral:miRNA from 1 species